UUACUCGUAGGACUGCAAGUUAUGCAAUUUGGUAAUGCAGGUCAGGAAUGAAUCUUUCACUUGCUAUUUGGGCAUCUGGGCCUUUCACCGUGACAAGGUAUCAGAGCCUGAAUCAUGCCUGAAGUCUCCCACUGAUUCAUCACUCUGCAAUUCAGCGGUGCUCCACAUCUUCAGCGAAAGAGGUCCCUCUGCUACCUUGAUUUACAGAUUCAGAAAGCGCUAGAGGGAGAUGAAGCUGAUGUGUUGGUGGUGCUGGUUGUUGAUAUGGGGUAAGUUGGAGGGUUGUCUGGUGGAAAGACAAUGAGGCAACCACACGUCCGUUCAGAGUAUAAUAUGUGGACCAUGCCCUAUAUUAUCAUGAUCUCUUCCUUUUUCAUCAAUCUCUGAUUCAGAAGAAUAAAUAGCCAUCAUAGUGUGGUCGUCAUCAGAUCUCUAUCUGUAUCUACUGCAUGUGCAGGUGCUGUAGGGGUGACUCAGACUUUAAGGUGAAGGUUGUCCGGAAGGUGAUUAGAAUUGGUGACAAAUUCAUGACUGCAUGCAAAUUCAUGACUGCAUGUUACAUUUCUCUGUGGCAUGCUCAAAGUUUAACAUGGUCCGGUAAGUCAUGUUUACUUGCAGAUUCAAUGAACAAUCAAUGCUGUGAAAGUAAUAAAACCUCUGCACAUUUCAAGAUGCAAGCUGUAAGUAUUCGUAUCAUUUCACCUUAAAAAGUUUACAUUGGUACCAAUUGAAGAUUUCCAAUCUGGCAUUGAAACAUUACCCUAAAAGAAAGAAAGCUAACAUGAAGACUAAAAGUCCAAAGAUCAUGAGUAAACCGUUGUGUACACCCAUGUUCACAUUUUCAAAGCCUGUAGAAGAUAAGGGAAGACUAAAGAUGCUUUUGAGUGGAAGUGGUUGGUGGUGUGCUUCCUUUCUCUAUCAAUAAUCAAAUGCCUGAUUGGAUUCCAAUUUCCCUUCAACCCCACACUUCCUGUCUUUUCUUAAUCCUCCCUAACCUAAUUGCAGUAGGCUGGUGGGGUGUCUCUUUCAUAUCAUUUUCAUUUGUUUUAUUCCCUUCUAGGAUCCAAUCAUUCAAUCCAUGUCUUUAAAACCCUAGCGCUGGACGCUGAUGCAUGUUUAAUUAGUAGAUGACCGUUGCCUUAUACCUCAUUUCUUACACAAAUACCCUUCAUGUCGAAUGAUCAAGGGUUCAAGCUAGGACUGCUAAGAGGACGAGUCAAUCCAUAACCAUUUCUCCACCUAAACCACCACCAUGGGGAGUCAUUUAUUAAAGAGCAGGACCAUCAAUUUUUCAUCUGUCAUGUACAAAAGUUUAUGAAUAAAUAUACUUUAACUUAAAAUUUAAAAAUAAUAACAACACUGGAUCAGGUUUAUGUAAAAAUGAAAUGCAUGUACUAGUGAAACAAGUUGCAAGUCUCAUGCUAGCUCUUGGCAAGUCCAGCUUAAGCUGAUCAGUUUUUAACUGAGUGGAGCCGAAUUGGUCAAGUUUCAAAGUUGCUUGGAUUUGACUGAACAAACUAAACCUUCUCGAGAUCAAUUCAGCCUUUCACACUAUUCACAAUGAUGGGUAUACCACAACAAAGAUUUUGGUGCCACUUCCAUUA